rnacentral:rRNA from 1 species
UAGGGAAUCUUCCGCAAUGGGCGAAAGCCUGACGGAGCAACGCCGCGCGAGUGAUGAAGGUCUUCGGAUCGUAAAACUCUGUUAUUAGGGAAGAACAAAUGUGUAAGUAACUAUGCACGUCUUGACGGUACCUAAUCAGAAAGCCACGGCUAACUACGUGCCAGCAGCCGCGGUAAUACGUAGGUGGCAAGCGUUAUCCGGAAUUAUUGGGCGUAAAGCGCGCGUAGGCGGUUUUUUAAGUCUGAUGUGAAAGCCCACGGGUCAACCGUGGAGGGUCGUUUGGAACUGGAAAACUUGAGUGCAGAAGAGGAAAGUGGGAUUCCAUGUGUAGCGGUGAAAUGCGCAAAGGUAUGGAGGAACACCAGUGGCAAUGGCGACUGUCUGGUCUAUAACUGACGCUGAUGUGCGAAAGCGUGGGGAUCAAACAGG